rnacentral:rRNA from 1 species
UACGUAGGGUGCGAGCGUUAAUCGGAAUUACUGGGCGUAAAGCGUGCGCAGGCGGCUUCGCAAGUCAGACGUGAAAUCCCCGGGCUUAACCUGGGAAUGGCGUUUGAAACUACGGAGCUGGAGUGUGGUAGAGGGAGGCAGAAUUUCCUGUGUAGCGGUGAAAUGCGUAGAUAUAGGAAGGAAUACCAGUGGCGAAGGCGGCCUCCUGGAUCAACACUGACGCUGAGGUGCGAAAGCGUGGGGAGCAAACAGG